CUCCGCCGGCGACCGGCGCACGGGUGAGUAACACGUAUGCAACCUGCCCCUGUCAGGGGGACAACCCGCCGAAAGGCGGGCUAAACCCGCGUACAUGCCACCGGGGCAUCCCGGAGGCAGGAAAGGCUUCGGCCGGACAGGGAUGGGCAUGCGGCGCAUUAGGCAGUAGGCGGGGUAAUGGCCCACCUAACCGACGAUGCGUAGGGGUUCUGAGAGGAAGGUCCCCCACACUGGUACUGAGACACGGACCAGACUCCUACGGAAGGCAGCAG
rnacentral:rRNA from 1 species